rnacentral:rRNA from 1 species
UGGGGAAUCUUGCACAAUGGGGGCAACCCUGAUGCAGCGACGCCGCGUGAGCGAUGAAGGUUUUCGAAUCGUAAAGCUCUGUCCUAUGGGAAGAUAAUGACGGUACCAUAGGAGGAAGCCCCGGCUAACUACGUGCCAGCAGCCGCGGUAAUACGUAGGGGGCGAGCGUUGUCCGGAAUUACUGGGCGUAAAGGGUGCGUAGGUGGUCUUUCAAGUCGGUGGUUAAAGGCUACGGCUCAACCGUAGUUAGCCUCCGAAACUGGAAGACUUGAGUGCAGGAGAGGAAAGUGGAAUUCCCAGUGUAGCGGUGAAAUGCGUAGAUAUUGGGAGGAACACCAGUAGCGAAGGCGGCUCACUGGCUCGAUACUGACGCUGAGGUGCGAAAGCGUGGGGAGCAAACAGG